rnacentral:tRNA from 1 species
UAGCUCAGUCGGUUGAGCUUGGUGCUGAUAACACCAAGGUUGAGGGUUCGAUCCCCGU